CCUACGGGUGGCAGCAGUGGGGAAUAUUGGACAAUGGGGGGAACCCUGAUCCAGCGACGCCGCGUGAGUGAAGAAGUAUUUCGGUAUGUAAAGCUCUAUCAGCAGGGAAGAAAGAAAUGACGGUACCUGACUAAGAAGCCCCGGCUAACUACGUGCCAGCAGCCGCGGUAAUACGUAGGGGGCAAGCGUUAUCCGGAUUUACUGGGUGUAAAGGGAGCGUAGACGGCGAUGCAAGUCUGAAGUGAAAGGCGGGGGCUCAACCUCCGGACUGCUUUGGAAACUGUAUGGCUGGAGUGCAGGAGAGGUAAGUGGAAUUCCUAGUGUAGCGGUGAAAUGCGUAGAUAUUAGGAGGAACACCAGUGGCGAAGGCGGCUUACUGGACUGUAACUGACGUUGAGGCUCGAAAGCGUGGGGAGCAAACAGGAUUAGAUACCCUUGUAGUC
rnacentral:rRNA from 1 species